UUGAAUAAAAUUAAGUAAUUUCAAUUAAAGAGUAUAUACAAUCACAGACUUUAGGUUAAAUGUGCAUAAGUCUGAGGAAAAGUUCAAUUGGAGCACUUGCUAGUACUCUAGCUAAGUAUACUAUUUACGGAUACUACUGGUUAUAAGAUGUUAUAAGGUAGCUAGGACGAAUUCUAGAACAAAUUCACUAAGAUGAAAUUGAAGUUUUUGGUGGACUCUGGCUGAGGAUACUAUUUUUACAAAGACUGCUGGUUAUAAAGUAUUUACUAGUUAUGGUGAUUAUUAUCUGGGCAAAUCUGCUCGAGGCUGAUUGGAUGUUAAAUUGGAGCAUUACGUUGGAUCCCGGCUGAGGACUUCCUCUUCAUUGCGAGUACUGGCCAUUAAUUUAUGGAUGUACAGGCUACUUAAAAAAUUUCCCAAUAAAAUUUUCACGGAUUAAAUGAAGAAUUUAAUUGAAAUACUCCAAAAGACUCUGGCUCAC